CGGUGUUUAACUGGCGUGAUGUGGGACGUCCUACUGGUGGGCUUAGCCUCGCGAGGGGCGGCCCAACUAAUAUCCCGUCGCGGUGCUCUUUACUGAGUGUCGAGUCGGGCCGGUACGUUUACUUUGAACAAAUUAGAGUGCUUAAAGCAGGCUAUCCUCGCCUGAAUACUGCGUGCAUGGAAUAAUGGAAUAGGACCUCGGUUCUAUUUUGUUGGUUUUCGGAACCCCGAGGUAAUGAUUAAUAGGGACAGAUGGGGGCAUUCGUAUUGCGACGUUAGAGGUGAAAUUCUUGGAUCGUCGCAAGACGGACAGAAGCGAAAGCAUUUGCCAAAAAUGUUUUCAUUAAUCAAGAACGAAAGUUAGAGGUUCGAAGGCGAUCAGAUACCGCCCUAGUUCUAACCAUAAACGAUGCCAGCUAGCGAUCCGCCGAAGUUCCUCCGAUGACUCGGCGGGCAGCUUCCGGGAAACCAAAGCUUUUGGGUUCCGGGGGAAGUAUGGUUGCAAAGCUGAAACUUAAAGGAAUUGACGGAAGGGCACCACCAGGAGUGGAGCCUGCGGCUUAAUUUGACUCAACACGGGAAACCUCACCAGGCCCAGACACCGGAAGGAUUGACAGAUUGAUAGCUCUUUCUUGAUUCGGUGGGUGGUGGUGCAUGGGCCGUUCUUAGUUGGUGGAGCGAUUUGUCUGGUUAAUUCCGAUAACGAACGAGACUCUAGCCUGCUAAAUAGGCGUACCUUAUGGUAUCGCGAAGGCCCCCGGCUUCGGCCGGUGGGUUUUUACUACCAACGUACAAACAAAUCUUCUUAGAGGGACAGGCGG
rnacentral:rRNA from 1 species